rnacentral:rRNA from 1 species
UACGUAGGGGGCAAGCGUUAUCCGGAUUUACUGGGUGUAAAGGGAGCGUAGACGGCAAUGCAAGUCUGGAGUGAAAGGCGGGGGCCCAACCCCCGGACUGCUCUGGAAACUGUAUAGCUGGAGUGCAGGAGAGGUAAGUGGAAUUCCUAGUGUAGCGGUGAAAUGCGUAGAUAUUAGGAGGAACACCAGUGGCGAAGGCGGCUUACUGGACUGUAACUGACGUUGAGGCUCGAAAGCGUGGGGAGUAAACAGG